UGGGGAAUAUUGGACAAUGGGGGCAACCCUGAUCCAGCAAUGCCGCGUGUGUGAAGAAGGCCUGCGGGUUGUAAAGCACUUUCAGUAGAGAAGAAAAGCUAUCGGUUAAUACCCGGGAGUCUUGACGUAACCUACAGAAGAAGCACCGGCUAACUCCGUGCCAGCAGCCGCGGUAAUACGGAGGGUGCGAGCGUUAAUCGGAAUUACUGGGCGUAAAGCGCGCGUAGGCGGCUAGGUCAGUCGAAUGUGAAAGCCCCGGGCUUAACCUGGGAAUUGCAUUCGAUACUGCCUGACUAGAGUAUGGGAGAGGGAAGUGGAAUUUCCGGUGUAGCGGUGAAAUGCGUAGAUAUCGGAAGGAACACCAGUGGCGAAGGCGACUUCCUGGCCCAAUACUGACGCUGAGGUGCGAAAGCGUGGGUAGCGAACAGGAUUAGAUACCCGUGUAGUCC
rnacentral:rRNA from 1 species